GCGUCGUUUGCGACGCCCAACACACAAAACAAGCGGUGAGUGCUUUGGGGUGGGGUGACUGCGUACCUUUUGUAUAAUGGGUCAGCGACUUAUAUUCUGUAGCAAGGUUAACCGUAUAGGGGAGCCGAAGGGAAACCGAGUCUUAACUGGGCGUUAAGUUGCAGGGUAUAGACCCGAAACCCGGUGAUCUAGCCAUGGGCAGGUUGAAGGUUGGGUAACACUAACUGGAGGACCGAACCGACUAAUGUUGAAAAAUUAGCGGAUGACUUGUGGCUGGGGGUGAAAGGCCAAUCAAACCGGGAGAUAGCUGGUUCUCCCCGAAAGCUAUUUAGGUAGCGCCUCGUGAACUCAUCUUCGGGGGUAGAGCACUGUUUCGGCUAGGGGGUCAUCCCGACUUACCAACCCGAUGCAAACUGCGAAUACCGAAGAAUGUUAUCACGGGAGACACACGGCGGGUGCUAACGUCCGUCGUGAAGAGGGAAACAACCCAGACCGCCAGCUAAGGUCCCAAAGUCACAGUUAAGUGGGAAACGAUGUGGGAAGGCUCAGACAGCCAGGAUGUUGGCUUAGAAGCAGCCAUCAUUUAAAGAAAGCGUAAUAGCUCACUGGUCGAGUCGGCCUGCGCGGAAGAUGUAACGGGGCUAA
rnacentral:rRNA from 1 species